CCCUUAGACGUUCUGGGCCGCACGCGCGCUACACUGACCAGUGCAACAAGCAUCCGUCCUUGGCCGACAGGCCCGGGCAAUCUUUGAACGCUGGUCGUGAUGGGGAUAGACUUUUGCAAUUUUUGGUCCUCAACGAGGAAUUCCUAGUAAACGCAAGUCAUCAACUUGCAUUGAUUACGUCCCUGCCCUUUGUACACACCGCCCGUCGCACCUACCGAUUGAAUGGUCCGGUGAAGCCUCCGGAUUGGCGCGCACCUCGGUGCCGCCGAGAAGUUGGCUAAACCUUACCAUUUAGAGGAAGGUGAAGUCGUANCA
rnacentral:rRNA from 1 species